GGUGUAAUGAUAGCGGCGAACGGGUGAGUUAACACGUUGGAACCUGCCCCCAAGUCAGGGGAUAGCCAAGGGAAACCUUGGAUAAUACCGGAUAGUCUCUUAGGAGUAAAAAUUUAUUGCUUGGGGAGGGGCCUGCGGACUAUCAGCUAGUUGGUAAGGUAAGAGCUUACCAAGGCUAUGACGGAUAACUGGUCUGAGAGGAUGAUCAGUCACAAUGGAACUGAGACACGGUCCAUACUCCUACGGGAGGCAGCAGUGAGGAAUCUUCCACAAUGGACGAAAGUCUGAUGGAGCGACACCGCGUGAAGGAAGAAGGCCUAACGGUUGUAAACUUCUUUUCUGAAGGAGCAUAAUGAGAGUACUUUAGGAAUAAGGGACGGCUAAAUACGUGCCAGCAGCCGCGGUAAUACGUAUGUCCCGAGCGUUACCCGGAAUAACUGGGUGUAAAGGGUUUGUAGGUUGAUGGUUAAGUCAGAUAUGAAAGACCGAAGCUUAACUUCGAGUUAGUAUUUGAAACUGGCUAUCUAGAAUCAGGGAGAGGUAAGCGGAAUUCUAAGUGUAGGGGUGCAAUCCGUAGAUACUUAGAGGAACCCC
rnacentral:rRNA from 1 species